rnacentral:ribozyme from 1 species
UUAAAAAAAAAAAAAGAAAAAAAAAAGUAUGAUAUCCUGUCUCAAGUUU